rnacentral:rRNA from 1 species
UGGGGGAUAUUGCACAAUGGGCGAAAGCCUGAUGCAGCAACGCCGCGUGAGGGAAGAAGGUCUUCGGAUUGUAAACCUUUGUCUUUGGGGAAGAAAUUUUGACGGUACCCAAAAAGAAAGCUCCGGCUAACUACGUGCCAGCAGCCGCGGUAAUACGUAGGGAGCAAGCGUUGUCCGGAUUUACUGGGUGUAAAGGGUGCGUAGGCGGCUUUAUGGGUCAAGUGUGAAAUCUAGAGGCUUAACCUCUAAACUGCGCUUGAAACUAUAGGGCUUGAGUGAAGUAGAGGCAAGUGGAAUUCCCGGUGUAGCGGUGGAAUGCGUAGAGAUCGGGAGGAACACCAGUGGCGAAGGCGGCUUGCUGGGCUUUAACUGACGCUGAGGCACGAAAGCAUGGGUAGCAAACA